GUCUAGAUAGUAUAGUGGUUAGUACUUCGCAUUGUGGUUGCGAAAACCGGGGUUCGAUUCCCCGUCUGGACA